rnacentral:rRNA from 1 species
UGUCGGGGCGAUGGUGUGGAAGCCUGGGGCGUGAGCCCCGGUGGAACGGCCUCUGGUGCAGAUCUUGGUGGUAGUAGCAAAUAUUCAAAUGAGAACUUUGAAGACUGAAGUGGAGAAAGGUUCCAUAUGAACAGCAGUUGGAUAUGGGUUAGUCGAUCCUAAGAGAUAGGGCAACUCCGUUUUAAAGC